rnacentral:sRNA from 1 species
GUGAUUGAUCAUCACCUCAUUAUAGAAAGUGUCUGGGGAACCAUCAAUCCUCAGAAACAUAAAUGAUAAAUAAUAGGAUUGAAUCCAAAUGCAAGCCCUUUCAUCAACCUUGUUCAUCGACAGAGAAAGAUAGGGAGGAGGGAGGAGGGUUGAGGUGGUGUUCGUACUGUGUCGGCAGCGGGGCUGGAUCACAGGGCUUCGACCGGAGGUGAUAGUGGUGGUCGAGUGCGGCGUAGAGUUCAUCGGAGGUUGGGAACGGCCCGACAUCAACAUCGCGCCCCCCGGAGGCGAAAUACCCACGAGAAUCGCUGUACACUCGUACCUCCUCAUCCUCACACGGGUCCCGCUCCCGCCCUGCUGUCCUGGACGCCAUGGAUGGGGAUGGCGCCGGCCGCCGGCCGGCGGCGGGGGCGUUGCCGGCGGACGGUGGCGUGGCGGGGACUAGGGCUUGGUGGAAUCGAAAUGGCGCAAGGCGAAGUGGCCAACACAAGUGACUAUUGGGCCGGAAUUGGGCUCGGCCCAUACUAAAAUUUGCAUGACUGGAUCGAGUCCUCUUGCAUAUGAUGAGGACGAUCUGGUGUCUUGCUGUUCCAUGAGAAAUAUGCCUAUCGAUCGAUUUCUAUUUGGUUUCUUAAUUAUGUCGCUCGAUGGAGCCGCUUGAUUGCUACAGUGUAUUUGCUAAAUUAACCUAACUAGCAGGAGCAUGGAGGAGACG